GACGAACGCUGGCGGCGUGCUUAACACAUGCAAGUCGAACGAAGAGCGACGGAAGCUUGCUUCUCUCAAUCUUAGUGGCGAACGGGUGAGUAACGCGUAAUCAACCUGCCCUUCAGAGGGGGACAACAGUUGGAAACGACUGCUAAUACCGCAUACGAUCUAACCUCGGCAUCGAGGAUAGAUGAAAGGUGGCCUCUACAUGUAAGCUCUCACUGAAGGAGGGGAUUGCGUCUGAUUAGCUAGUUGGAGGGGUAACGGCCCACCAAGGCGAUGAUCAGUAGCCGGUCUGAGAGGAUGAACGGCCACAUUGGGACUGAGACACGGCCCAGACUCCUACGGGAGGCAGCAGUGGGGAAUCUUCCGCAAUGGACGAAAGUCUGACGGAGCAACGCCGCGUGAGUGAUGACGGCCUUCGGGUUGUAAAGCUCUGUUAAUCGGGACGAAAGGCCUUCUUGCGAAUAGUGAGAAGGAUUGACGGUACCGGAAUAGAAAGCCACGGCUAACUACGUG
rnacentral:rRNA from 1 species